rnacentral:misc_RNA from 1 species
AAGUCGUAACAAGGUUUCCGUAGGUGAACCUGCGGAAGGAUCAUUAACACGUAUUCACGUAUCAAAACCCCUCUGUGCAAACCUCUUCGUAAGGCUUGAUUGGAGUUGUAUUCACUCGAUCUUAAUGAUGGGAGUCCCUCGGGACUCGGGAUCUAUGGCAGGCCGCUAUUUUUCCAUCGUUGGCCUUUUACCUAAUUUUAACCCCCUGUACUUUUUUGUCCUGAACUAAAGAACAACCCUUAGCAACGGAUAUCUUGGUUCCC